GACGAACGCUGGCGGCGUGCUUAACACAUGCAAGUCGAGCGGUAAGGCCCUUUCGGGGGUACACGAGCGGCGAACGGGUGAGUAACACGUGGGUGACCUGCCCUCAGCUCUGGGAUAAGCCUGGGAAACCGGGUCUAAUACCGGAUAUGACUCCAUGACGCAUGUUGUGGGGUGGAAAGCCUUGUGCGGCUGAGGAUGGGCCCCGCGGCCUAUCAGCUUGUUGGUGGGGUGAUGGCCUACCAAGGCGACGACGGGUAGCCGGCCUGAGAGGGCGACCGGCCACACUGGGACUGAGACACGGCCCAGACUCCUACGGGAGGCAGCAGUGGGGAAUCUUGCGCAAUGGGCGAAAGCCUGACGCAGCGACGCCGCGUGAGGGAUGACGGCCU
rnacentral:rRNA from 1 species